ACCUCAUCCAAAAAAGCUAGCCAGAAAAUAUUAUUUAAGUUUUUUGGUCAUGUAUAAAGCGGUGUGGGACUAAAUAUACGCUUGCACAUAUCCUCAUACUCUCUCUCUCUCUCUCCUCCCCGUGUAUGUGUGUGGGUGUGGGGUGGUUGUUGAGAUAUUGGUUUAAAGCUUUUAUAACAUGCAAGAGUAAGUUGACUAAGGAAUUUUAUAUGCUAAUUUCAUUUUGUAAUUGAAACAUCGGAAAUAAAGUGGUUCAUUUAUUGUAAUAUAAUUGGAACCUCGAGAUUCAAACUGGCUUCACUUUGCGGCUAUUCACAAUUAAUUCAGAUUGAGUGGCUAAUCAAAGCGACAUUUUAGCGAUAUUGAUUGAUCGAUCAAACUUUCUCCACCAUGGAAGGUUGCCACGCUAGAGUUACCUUGUUAUUUUCUAGCCAAAUAUUUUCUCCUUUGGAAUUUGCGACGCCUUUGUCGUAUGGUUAUGGAUGAGGAUUUGCGUGAAACAUAAACUUGUAUAUUUGCUUGUGAAUCGAAUUCUUCCACCUUGCGGACCUACACAUAUCACCAUCUAAUUGCAGCUAGAAGAACUCUUUAGUUUUAUCCAGUUUCCGGGAACUUGAAGAACAUGAUUUCUUUUUUUGGAAGUU
rnacentral:lncRNA from 1 species